AUGGAGUCUUGCUAUGUUGCCCUGGUUGGUAUCCAACGCCUGGCCUCAAGUGGUUCUCCUGCCUCAGUUUUUCAAAGUGUUGGUAUUACAGGUGUGAGCCACAGUGCCCAGCCUCAUUCUAUUUUUUUGAGACAGGGUCUCACUAUGUUGCCUAGGCUGGAGUGAAGUGUCUAUUCACAGGCCACUGCGAAUAUUCGAUCCUCCCGCCUCAGCCUCUUGAGUAGCCGGGAUUACAGGCACCAGCAUCAACAAAGACUGUAAAAGAUUUUCAAUGAAUCAAGGAAAGAAUCUUAACUAGUUGUUUGAGCUGAGUUCCAUAUGGACUAAAAAUGCAUGAAAACUGCUGUAUCUUAACUGUUUACAGCAGUUCCCUCAGGGUAUCAUCUGUGUGACCUCCCUGGGCAUGUGACACAAGCUGAGCCUAUCACGCACCCCUUAGAACUGUCACAAACACAUGACCUAGGCUAGGCCAGUGACCAUUCUUCCCUGGGAUUUGUCAAACUUAAGCUGGGGGAAAAGAAGCCUGUUUUCUCUCAGAUCACAGCAAUAAAGAUGUCUAUAGAUGGGCAAUGACCACAGUCAUAUCCCCUUCCAUGUAGAGGAAGCCCACCAGCAGCAAGACAAAAAUUAACGCAACACUAAGAGAUAAAAGGUGAGGAGAGCACGGAGCCACAUAGGGCACACAGCUGUGUUUCAAGUCCCUGGUUAUGAAUGUCCUUAAAACCCACCUCAUUCCAGCUCUUCCUGAAAUCUAGUUAAGUAAGCAAAAAAAAAAACCCCUUUUGCUUCAGCUAGACUAUGUGAGUUUCUGUUACUAACAACCAGGAAUUUUUUUUUUUUUUUUUUUUUUUUGAGACAGAAUCUCACUUUGUCACCCAGGCUGUAAUGCAGUGGCACAAUCCUGGCUCACUGCAACCUCCAACACCCAGGUUCGAGUGAUUCUCCUGCCUCAGCCUCCCAAGUAGCUGGGAUUACAGGCGUCCGCCACCACAUCUGGCUAAUUUUUGUAUUUCUAGUAGAGAUGAGGUUUCACCAUGUUGGCCAGGCCAGUCUUGAACUCCUGAACUCAGGUUACCUGCCCACCUCAGCUUCCCAAAGUGCUGAGAUUACAGGUGUGAGCCACUGUGCCCAGCUGCAACCAGGAAUCUUAAUGCAUGGGCUGAGGAGGCUGACUGACCUAGACGACAAUGUGCAUCAUCCCAGAAGUAGGCUAAAGGUAACCAGCUCCUCAGCUCACCCUGGACUGCUUCCUCGUCCUUCCUCCACCUCUAGUUUUCAUCUGAGAAACUAGGUUAAACCUCUUUGCUACCAGGUGUGCUCAAAUCCCUUAAACAGGCAGAUCUGACAUAAAGUACUGUUUAAUCAUUUUUGCUUCUAAACAAAAUGAUUGGGAAGUGAGUCUCCCAAAGUCCCCCAAAUACAAUAAUUUUUAUCUUAAAAGUGCCUUUACAUUGUCUAGAUCAAACACUCAAAAACAAGUGGGAAGAAGUGACUGGGCUUCAGGAUAUACAUAACAAAGAGCUUUAAGGGAACCACUAAGAAGGUAAUCUCUUCAAACAGCCCACGUAAAUUAUACUAAUCUAUGGAAAGAAAUCUUCCAUCACAA
rnacentral:lncRNA from 10 species